rnacentral:rRNA from 1 species
AUUGAACGCUGGCGGCAGGCUUAACACAUGCAAGUAGAGCGAGCGGCGGACGGGUGAGUAAUGUCUGGGAAACUGCCAGAUGGAGGGGGAUAAAUACUGGAAAAGGUAGCUAAUACCGCAUAACAUCAGAUGUGCCCCGAUGGGAUUAGCUUGUAGGUGGGGUAAUGGCUAACCUAGGCGACGAUCCCUAGCUGGUCUGAGAGGAUGACCGGCCACACUGGAAUUGGGACACGGUCCAGACUCCUACGGGAGGCAGCAGUGGGGAAUAUGGCACAAUGGGCGCAAGCCUUAUGCAGCCAGGCCGCGUGUUGGAAGAAGGCCUUCGGGUUGUAAAGCACUUUCAGCGAGGAGGCGUUACUCGCAGAAGAAGCACCGGCUAACUCCGUGCCAGCAGCCGCGGUAAUAC